rnacentral:rRNA from 1 species
UACGUAGGGCGCGAGCGUUGUCCGGAUUUAUUGGGCGUAAAGAGCUCGUAGGCGGCUUGUCGCGUCGACUGUGAAACCCGCGGCUCAACCGUGUGGUCUGCAGUCGAUACGGGCAGGCUAGAGUUCGGUAGGGGAGACUGGAAUUCCUGGUGUAGCGGUGAAAUGCGCAGAUAUCAGGAGGAACACCGGUGGCGAAGGCGGGUCUCUGGGCCGAUACUGACGCUGAGGAGCGAAAGCGUCGGGGAGCGAACAGG